GACGUCGUAUAUCGACGUCAUAAACACCAAAGUUGACCGUGUUUAUGACGUCGUAUAUCGACGUCAUAAACACCAAAGUUGACCGUGUUUAUGACGUCGUAUAUCGACGUCAUAAACACCAAAGUUGAUCGUGUUUAUGACGUCGUAUAUCGACGUC
rnacentral:miRNA from 1 species